rnacentral:ncRNA from 1 species
AGCGCAGGUUCUCAGAGGCGGACGUAUGGCCUUUGAGAAGACGAGGAGAAGGUUGUCGAGUAGUCAGCGGAUGCCUUCCGGCCGGUCCGGCCGAUAAAGUCCGAUAAAGCCCGCAUGCGAGUGCGGAGGGAAAGCG